rnacentral:rRNA from 1 species
AGUGAACGCUGGCGGUAGGCCUAACACAUGCAAGUCGAACGGCAGCACAGUAAGAGCUUGCUCUUACGGGUGGCGAGUGGCGGGCGGGUGAGGAAUACAUCGGAAUCUACUUUUUCGUGGGGGAUAACGUAGGGAAACUUACGCUAAUACCGCAUACGACCUACGUGUGAAAGCAGGGGAUCUUCGGACCUUGCGCGAUUGAAUGAGCCGAUGUCGGAUUAGCUAGUUGGCGGGGUAAAGGCCCACCAAGGCGACGAUCCGUAGCUGGUCUGAGAGGAUGAUCAGCCACACUGGAACUGAGACACGGUCCAGACUCCUACGGGAGGCAGCAGUGGGGAAUAUUGGACAAUGGGCGCAAGCCUGAUCCAGCCAUACCGCGUGGGUGAAGAAGGCCUUCGGGUUGUAAAGCCCUUUUGUUGGGAAAGAAAAGCAGCAGGUUAAUACCCCGCUGUUCUGACGGUACCCAAAGAAUAAGCACCGGCUAACUUCGUG